rnacentral:rRNA from 1 species
UCCGUAGGGGGCUAGCGUUGUCCGGAAUCAUUGGGCGUAAAGAGCGUGUAGGCGGCCCGGUAAGUCCGCUGUGAAAGUCGGGGGCUCAACCCUCGAAUGCCGGUGGAUACUGUCGGGCUAGAGUGCGGAAGAGGCGAGUGGAAUUCCUGGUGUAGCGGUGAAAUGCGCAGAUAUCAGGAGGAACACCAGUGGCGAAGGCGGUGCUCUGGGCCGGAACUGACGCUGAGGAGCGAAAGCGUGGGGAGCAAACAGG